rnacentral:rRNA from 1 species
AAUACCAGAUAAGACCACAGGGGGCUUUGGCUCCUGAGGUAAAAGAUAGCCUCUGCAUGCAAGCUAUCACUUCCAGAGGGGUCCGCGGCCCAUCAGCUAGUUGGCGGGGUAACGGCCCACCAAGGCGACGACGGGUAGCUGGUCUGAGAGGACGAUCAGCCACACUGGAACUGAGACACGGUCCAGACUCCUACGGGAGGCAGCAGUGGGGAAUUUUGCGCAAUGGGCGAAAGCCUGACGCAGCAACGCCGCGUGAGUGAUGAAGGUCUUCGGAUCGUAAAGCUCUUUCGGCUGGGACGAAAACCGGUUGGUGAAUAGCCAACCGCUUGACGGUACCGGAAGAAGAAGCACCGGCUAACUCUGUGCCAGCAGCCGCGGUAA